ensembl:lncRNA
CCUCUGGGGAGCGCGAUUUCGCGCGGGCGUCCACGAUUUCGCGCGGGGAAGUAGGAGCGCAGUCUUGAGCUGGAUUCGUUCAGCUUUUAUUUGAAACAAUGGUACAUUCCAUGGUGUCUUAACAGAUAAACAAGUACAUUCUGGGAGCUCAGUGUCCUUUAGUGAACUCAAAACCCACAGGGACAAGAUGGAGGAGCUCUGGACCUCAUUGAUUUCUUCUUUGGCUGGAUUCCCAUGAGACAGCUCUGGCAGUAGGAGGGUAGAGGAAGGAUUCCUCCUUGCUACUCUUCUAAGAGGGUAAAAAUAACAGUGUACCUUACAGUGGACCUACAUUGAAUUCUUCGGAAGCAGAAGUACGGAUUCCGAGUACGUUUUCAACCUACAGGAUUUUCUGAUGGAACAGAGAGUAUUCAUGGCAUUCUGGGAAGCUGAGGGCGGAGGAACGGAAAAGGCCGGCUGGACUAAGAACAUUUCUUUCUAGAG